AUUGAACGCUGGCGGCAUGCCUAACACAUGCAAGUCGAACGGAGAUAGGGGCAACCUUAUUUCAGUGGCGGACGGGUGAGGAAUGCGUCGGAAUCUGCCCUAUGGUGGGGGAUAACACAGGGAAACUUGUGCUAAUACCGCAUAAUGUCGAGAGACCAAAGCAGGGGACCGCAAGGCCUUGCGCGAUAGGAUGAGCCGACGCCCGAUUAGCUUGUUGGUAGGGUAAUGGCCUACCAAGGCGACGAUCGGUAGCUGGUCUGAGAGGAUGAUCAGCCACACUGGGACUGAGACACGGCCCAGACUCCUACGGGAGGCAGCAGUGGGGAAUCUUGCGCAAUGGGCGAAAGCCUGACGCAGCAACGCCGCGUGCGGGAAGAAGGCCCUCGGGUUGUAAACCGCUUUCAGUAGGAACGAAAAUGACGGUACCUGCAGAAGAAGGUGCGGCCAACUACGUG
rnacentral:rRNA from 1 species